GAUCCUGGCUCAGGACGAACGCUGGCGGCGCGCCUAACACAUGCAAGUCGAACGGAGCUAUGUUGAAAGCUUGCUGGAUAUAUAGCUUAGUGGCGGACGGGUGAGUAACACGUGAGCAACCUGCCUUUCAGAGUGGAAUAACGUUUGGAAACGAACGCUAAUACCGCAUAAUGUCAGAGGACGGCAUCUUCUUUUUACCCUAAAGAAUUUAUCGCUGAAAGAUGGGCUCGCGGCCGAUUAGGUAG
rnacentral:rRNA from 1 species